rnacentral:rRNA from 1 species
ACGGGUGAGUAACGCGUGGUCAACCUACCGUUGAGUGGGGGAUAACUAGCCGAAAGGUUAGCUAAUACCGCAUACGUCUCCGAGGGGCAUCCCUUGGCGAUAAAAGGAGCAAUCCGCUCGAUGACGGGACCGCGUCCCAUUAGCUAGAUGGUGGGGUAACGGCCUACCAUGGCGACGAUGGGUAGCUGGUUUGAGAGAGCGACCAGCCACACUGGGACUGAGAAACGGCCCAG